ACAGCUGAGGCUCCACUUCAGUACGACACAGUCCAAAUAGUCGGUUUUGUCUAAACAUCUCUCUUAUUUUACCAUGAUGAGUUUCAGAUCUGCUCUCAUUGCCGUUCUUUUGGGUUCUGUUUUGAUGUUAGCGGUAGAGGCUGGUCGAGGCUGCGGAAGAGGUCGAGGACACGCCUACGGCUGCCACGGAGGGGGAGAAAAAAGCAGCGAGGAGAGCGGCAGCAGCAGCGAGGAGGCCGCGUGCAAUUAUAAUGACACCAAGGAAUGUAAUGAUAACGACGCUGACACGUGCGUUUGUCCAGAGGGGUUCACCCUCUGCGGCGGCAGCUGCUGGCGCUACGAGAACUCCUCUCUCAUCUCCUACGCCGACGCAGUGUCGCUCUGUGCCAGCCUGGGUGCCGAAGUGGCGCUCCCCACCUCCGCUGCCGAGAACCAGUGUGCUGAGUGUGUGACGUCCAGCUCCUUGGGUGCCGGAUCGGACUCCGGGGCACGACGACGCUGGAUUCCUUCGUCACCUCUGACGGCUCUGCUCCAGCCUACACCAACUGGCAUGAGGAUCAGCCAAACCUUAGCGGAUGCGAGCCGUAUAACUGCGAUAACUGCGCGUAUGUUUCUGCCGCCGAUGGCAAGUGGUAUGUUUACCGCUGCGAUUUCAUCUAUCUUACCCUUUGUCAUACGCGGACCUGCUGUGCUUAGUUGGACUUGGGAUAACGCUUCCGAAAUAAUGACUCUUCUUUGGUGUCCUUAUGGGAUAUUAAUGUCUUUAACAGAUAUCUAUAUCUGUAGAUAUCUUGACUGAAAGUUGGAUGGCAAAAAUUGUGUAGCCCAAUUUCGUCUAAUACUUUUUACUCAUCUUCUUUUACAUUUGUCAUUUAACGUAAUCAGUUUGGCUGCUCACAGAAUAGCCACAUCUUGAAUCUAUUUCUUUUUACCAUUAAUGUAAAAACUGCACUUCUGGGUAACGUUGUCAUUAUCUAUAAAGGAAGCCCCUAAUGUUGCAUAAGACAAAAAAAUGACAUGCGAUCUAGCGACGAUGAUAUAUGGAGAAGAGGAAGAGAAAGGAGUGAGAAGCAGUGAAAGGAGGAGAUGGGAAAGGGAAGAAGACUAGAAAAAAGAAGAAGACCAUGAAGGAAGGGCGAGGAAGGAGGAGUAGGAGAUUGGAAGUUUUUUUUUUGCUUUGGGGACUUACACCUGUUGUCUGCUAUGUAGUUUGACGUCUUUUUCUUUCGCCUUCCUUACCUACCUAUACCUACAUAUAUUCAGUUUAGUUGGCGGUGGUAGUUUUUCCGCGUUUGUGUCGGUACACGGGUUAAUCAAUGUUACAUACCAAUGGUGCUUGCGUCUCAAAAAUGUUUUAUUGCAUGCCAUUUUGGUCGUAGUUUGCACUUGGCAAUAUAUCAAAUGUGCACUUUA